rnacentral:misc_RNA from 1 species
GAUGAAGAACGCAGCGAAAUGCGAUACUUGGUGUGAAUUGCAGAAUCCCGUGAACCAUCGAGUCUUUGAACGCAAGUUGCGCCCGAAGCCACUAGGCCGAGGGCACGCCUGCCUGGGCGUCACACGCCGUUGCCCCCCCAUCUACUCCUUCGGGAUUGCGGGGGGGCGGAUGAUGGCCUCCCGUGCGCCUAGCCGCGCGGUUGGCAUAAAUACCAAGUCCUCGGCGACGCACGCCACGACAAUCGGUGGUUGCGAAACCUCGGUUGCCCGUCGUGUGCGUUCGUCGCGCAUCGAGGGCUCGAAAAAAUGCUCGGCUCCGGCUGGGCUUUCAACGCGACCCCAGGUCAGGCGGGGUUACCCGCUAAAUUUAAGCAUAUCAAUAAGCGGAGGA